UCCGCGCUGCAUUAGCUAGUUGGUAAGGUAACGGCUUACCAAGGCAACGAUGCAUAGCCGACCUGAGAGGGUGAUCGGCCACACUGGAACUGAGACACGGUCCAGACUCCUACGGGAGGCAGCAGUAGGGAAUCUUCCGCAAUGGGCGAAAGCCUGACGGAGCAACGCCGCGUGAGUGAUGAAGGUCUUCGGAUCGUAAAACUCUGUUAUUAGGGAAGAACAUAUGUGUAAGUAACUGUGCACAUCUUGACGGUACCUAAUCAGAAAGCCACGGCUAACUACGUGCCAGCAGCCGCGGUAAUACGUAGGUGGCAAGCGUUAUCCGGAAUUAUUGGGCGUAAAGCGCGCGUAGGCGGUUUUUUAAGUCUGAUGUGAAAGCCCACGGCUCAACCGUGGAGGGUCAUUGGAAACUGGAAAACUUGAGUGCAGAAGAGGAAAGUGGAAUUCCAUGUGUAGCGGUGAAAUGCGCAGAGAUAUGGAGGAACACCAGUGGCGAAGGCGACUUUCUGGUCUGUAACUGACGCUGAUGUGCGAAAGCGUGGGGAUCAAACAGGAUUAGAUACCCUGGUAGUCCACGCCGUAAACGAUGAGUGCUAAGUGUUAGGGGGUUUCCGCCCCUUAGUGCUGCAGCUAACGCAUUAAGCACUCCGCCUGGGGAGUACGACCGCAAGGUUGAAACUCAAAGGAAUUGACGGC
rnacentral:rRNA from 1 species